GACGAACGCUGGCGGCGUGCCUAAUACAUGCAAGUUGAGCGCUGAAGGUUGGUACUUGUACCAACUGGAUGAGCAGCGAACGGGUGAGUAACGCGUGGGGAAUCUGCCUUUGAGCGGGGGACAACAUUUGGAAACGAAUGCUAAUACCGCAUAAAAACUUUAAACACAAGUUUUAAGUUUGAAAGAUGCAAUUGCAUCACUCAAAGAUGAUCCCGCGUUGUAUUAGCUAGUUGGUGAGGUAAAGGCUCACCAAGGCGAUGAUACAUAGCCGACCUGAGAGGGUGAUCGGCCACAUUGGGACUGAGACACGGCCCAAACUCCCACGGGAGGCAGCAGUAGGGAAACUUCGGCAAUGGACGAAAGUCUGACCGAGCAACGCCGCGUGAGUGAAGAAGGGUUUCGGAUCGUAAAACUCUGUUGGUAGAGAAGAACGUUGGUGAGAGUGGAAAGCUCAUCAAGUGACGGUAACUACCCAGAAAGGGACGGCUAACUACGUG
rnacentral:rRNA from 1 species